rnacentral:rRNA from 1 species
CUACGAAAGGUGCGAGCGUUGUUCGGAUUUACUGGGCGUAAAGCGAGUGUAGGUGGUUUGUUAAGUCGGAUGUGAAAUCCCGGGGCUCAACCUCGGAACUGCAUUCGAUACUGGCAGGCUAGAGUUCGGGAGGGGUAAGCGGAAUUCCGUGUGUAGCAGUGAAAUGCGUAGAUAUACGGAGGAACACCUGAGGCGAAGGCGGCUUACUGGACCGAUACUGACACUGAGACUCGAAAGCGUGGGUAGCAAACAGAAGUAGAAACCCUAGUAGUCC